rnacentral:rRNA from 1 species
AUUGAACGCUGGCGGCAGGCCUAACACAUGCAAGUCGAGCGGAUGAAGGGAGCUUGCUCCUGGAUUCAGCGGCGGACGGGUGAGUAAUGCCUAGGAAUCUGCCUGGUAGUGGGGGAUAACGUCCGGAAACGGGGGCUAAUACCGCGUACGUCCUGAGGGAGAAAGUGGGGGAUCUUCGGACCUCACGCUAUCAGAUGAGCCUAGGUCGGAUUAGCUAGUUGGUGGGGUAAAGGCCUACCAAGGCGACGAUCCGUAACUGGUCUGAGAGGAUGAUCAGUCACACUGGAACUGAGACACGGUCCAGACUCCUACGGGAGGCAGCAGUGGGGAAUAUUGGACAAUGGGCGAAAGCCUGAUCCAGCCAUGCCGCGUGUGUGAAGAAGGUCUUCGGAUUGUAAAGCACUUUAAGUUGGGAGGAAGGGCAGUAAGUUAAUACCUUGCUGUUUUGACGUUACCAACAGAAUAAGCACCGGCUAACUUCGUG